AUGGCGUAUUCGAGCCUGCCUUCGACAAGGAGGGUUAAGUCGUAACAAGGUAUCUGUAGGGGAACCUGCAGAUGGAUCACCUCCUAAGAAAAC
rnacentral:rRNA from 1 species